GAAUCCCACAGGCCGUAAACCCAAGGUUUCCAGGGGAAGGUUCGUCCGCCCUGGGUUAGUCGGGACCUAAGCUGAGGCCGAAAGGCGUAGGUGAUGGACAACAGGUUGAUAUUCCUGUACUACCGAUAACCGUUUGAGAGAAGGGAUGACACAGUAGGAUAAGCUAAGCACACUGUUGGUUAUGUGUGCCCAAGCAUUGAGGCAGUCAAAGUAGGCAAAUCCGCUUUGAUAAUGCUGGGAUGUGAUGGGGAGCGAAAUUUAGUAGCGAAGUAGCUGAUUUCACACUGUCAAGAAAAGUCUCUAUCGAGGUUAAAGGUACCCGUACCGCAAACCGACACAGGUGGGUGAGGAGAGUAUCCUAAGGCCAGCGAGAGAACUGUUGUUAAGGAACUCGGCAAAAUGACCCCGUAACUUAGGGAUAAGGGGUGCCACCAUCAGGUGGCCGCAGAGAAUAGGCCCAAGCGACUGUUUACCAAAAACAUAGGUUUCUGCUAAGUCGCAAGACGAUGUAUAGGAGCUGACGCCUGCCCGGUGCUGGAAGGUUAAGGGGAUCUGUUAGAGCAAUCGAAGCAGUGAACUUAAGCCCCAGUAAACGGCGGCCGUAACUAUAACGGUCCUAAGGUAGCGAAAUUCCUUGUCGGGUAAGUUCCGACCCGCACGAAAGGCGUAACGAUUUGGGCACUGUCUCAACAACAGACUCGGUGAAAUUGUAAUUCCGGUGAAGAUGCCGGAUACCUGCGACAGGACGGAAAGACCCCAUGGAGCUUUACUGUAGCUUGACAUUGGGUCUUGGUACUACAUGUACAGGAUAGGUGGGAGGCUUUGAAACCAGGACGCCAGUUUUGGCGGAGCCAUCCUUGGGAUACCACCCUUGUAGUACUGGGACUCUAACCAUAGGCCAUGAAUCUGGUCUUGGGACACUGUCAGGUGGGCAGUUUGACUGGGGCGGUCGCCUCCCAAAAGGUAACGGAGGCGCUCAAAGGUUCUCUCAGUACGGUCGGAAAUCGUACGUAGAGUGUAAAGGCAAAAGAGAGCUUGAUUGCAAGACAUACAGGUCGAGCAAGGAUGAAAAUCGGACUUAGUGAUCCGGUGGUUCUGCGUGGAAGGGCCAUCGCUCAACGGAUAAAAGCUACCCUGGGGAUAACAGGCUUAUCUCCCCCAAGAGUCCACAUCGACGGGGAGGUUUGGCACCUCGAUGUCGGCUCAUCACAUCCUGGGGCUGUAGUAGGUCCCAAGGGUUGGGCUGUUCGCCCAUUAAAGUGGUACGCGAGCUGGGUUCAGAACGUCGUGAGACAGUUCGGUCCCUAUCCGUCGCAGGCGUAGGAAAUUUGAGAAGACCUGUCCUUAGUACGAGAGGACCGGGAUGGACGUACCUCUGGUGUACCAGUUGUCCUGCCAAGGGCAUGGCUGGGUAGCUAUGUACGGAAUGGAUAAGCGCUGAAAGCAUCUAAGCGCGAAGCCAACUUCAAGAUAAGAUUUCCCACCGCAAGGGUAAGACCCCAGAAAGACUAUCUGGUUGAUAGGUCGAAGGUGUAAGUGCAGCAAUGUAUUUAGCUUAUCGAUACUAAUAGGUCGAGGACUUGACCAA
rnacentral:rRNA from 1 species